AUGAUUGCAGUCAAGAGAAUGUCUGUUGUAUUGAAUACACUACGGAGCCAUAAGAUUAAGAUGGAGGAUUUCUUCAAUGAGGCUAUAUGUAUGAAGGAGGCUAAGCACAAAAAUAUCGUACGUCUUCUUGGAUACAGUUGUGACAAAGAACCUGAGAAGGUUCAAGGCUGUGAUGAAGCAACACGCGAAAUGUUUCUCUGCUCUGAGUACAUACCUAACGGCAGCCUUCAAGAGUACAUCAAAGACGAAUCUUCUAGAUUCCAAUGGAACACACGCUAUCACAUAAUCAUGGGAAUGUGUGAGGGUGUAGAUUAUCUCCACCGGAUGCAUGAGCCGAUGGUUCAUAUGGAUCUCAAGCCCUUAAAUAUACUACUGGACCAUAACAUGUCACCAAAAAUUGCUGAUUUUGGUCUAUCGAGACGCUUAAGCAAAUAUCAAAUCAAGGAGUCUAGGCAAAUAAUUGGUACCCUGGGAUAUGCAGCACCAGAAUUGUUUAGGGGCGAAGUAAUCACACCCAAGGUAGACAUGUAUAGUUUGGGUAUUAUAAUCAUGGAUCUUCUGGUGGGACAUAAGAAAUGCAUGGACUUUGUUGCUCAUCGAACACCUGGGGGAUGUGUAGUUGAUACGGUACGUGAAACUUGGAAUGCAGUGCUUGGGCCAUCAGAUAGUCAUUAUAAACUUCUACGGAAACAAGUACAAGUAUGUGCUGAGAUAGCAGUAGAAUGCAUGGACAAGGAUCCUAACGAGCAUACAUACAAGGUGCCAGAAUAUGUGCCAAUAAUAGAUUGGAAUUCUGAAUCGGAUGUAUACGAAGGAAAUUCCAAAUCCGGAAUAGUUUCAAGCGUGUUAUCAGCAGAGCAGGAAAUUAUGCCCCCGGGUGAAGGUAGACCUAUGGCGUCUGAUAUCAUCAAUAGGCUUCUUAAAACAGAAGGACAGAAAUCCAGCCAUUUCAAUAGAACAAUAAUAGAAGGGCCACAACAAUUGCGGGCCACGGAUAUGUUGAAGAUACAGACUGCCACCACAUGGGGAGAGGUAAAGGGUAGCGACAGAAGCGAGAUAAACCCCAAACAGUUGGGACACAUGGAGCACGGGGUGAUCCUAUCUGGUGCCAUCCACCCAUCUAGUGCCACAAUGAAACCCAAGAUCCUAUGCAGCCCCGACGAAGUUGAAUUAGUAUGUUCCAUAGAUAUGCAUCCCACAGAACCAUGGAUCUUGAUGAGUCAUGGGCUCAAAGUUUCCAUCUGGAACUACCAAACACAGGUAAUAGAGAGAGACUUUAAUGUCAGCAACAAAGGUUGCGGCCUACAUGACCCAGUCGAGGUUACACCUGUUAAAUUUAUCCCCGAGGUGAAAUCGAUUGUGAUGGGCGAUAUUCGUGGCCACAUCCGCGUGAUCAGAUAUGAUACGAUGGAAGAAAAGGUUAACUUUGAUGCUCACAAUGGCAAUGCUAUCGAAUCAUUGGCAGUCCGCUCAACUGGUACGUUCCUGCUAUCGGCGGGUUAUUCCGGCAUGAUCAAGCUAUGGAAAUGGGAAAAUGGUUUGAGUUUGAUUGAAUAUAAAAAAUAUGAUGCUGGUUCUCGCACGGUGACCCAACUCAGGUUUAACGCAAACACUUUUCUUAGUUUUCAAGUGUCUGGCAUGAUAAAGGUCUGGUCAAUUGAUUGUCCCUGCCCUAUCGCCAUAAUACCUGCAAGACCGUGGUCAAAUGAAUCAUGGGGUCUUUGCAAACCAUUUGAUUAUCUUCCCACUGAGAGUGAUCGGAAAUAUAUGAUUACAACUACAAGGAAUGACACAUGCAUAUGGAACUUGGAUUUCCCGAAAAAAGAAAAAAGAAAGAUAUGGAACUUGGAGACAAAGGUGAACUUGGAGAUAAAGGUGAAUAAGGUUCACACACUUGCUUGGACAAAUGUCGUGGCAGUCGCUUGCCAUCCAACACUUCCGUUGAUAGUUAUAGUUACUGGGCACAGCCUGGGAACCUCAUCUCUUCACUUUUGGAGCUCUAUCAACUACAGGCUUGUGAAAACCAUUAACAUUGAGAGGACUUUCGGCUGGAUUAAAGAGUUUGGAUUUGCGGGCACAACAAGGCUCGUUGUCAUAUAUGGGCAAAAACCAUCUCAAAAGGAUAUAUAUGGGCAAUGGCUGCCAUAUAUAUGCAAUGAAAGAAUAGAAGUCCUGGAAAUAGAUAUGAAAGCAUUAGCAUGUCAGCAGGAAAAAGAUUGGACAUCAACAACGGUUCCACUAGUGGAGACUUCAGAUCAAGCAGCAACUGAUACCGACGGAGAUACCAGUACCUGCAGGGAUAGUUCCUGCAGAGACUCGGCUAGUGGUUACACCAGCAGUUCAGCGGUCCAACCAGCCAAGACUUAUGUGAACGAGAAUAAAGAAGCAAAACCUGCUGUCAUAUAUGGGCAAAGCCCAUCUCAAAACACAAAUUAUGGGAAAAUGCUGCCAUAUAUAUGCAAUGAACGACUAGAAGUCCCGGAAAUUGAUAUGAAAACAUCAGCAUGUCAGCGGGAACAAGAUAUGGCACCAACAGCGGUUCCACCGGUGGAGACUUCAGCUUCAGCAGUGACAAACACUGAGAGAGAUAGUACCUGCAGCAAUAGUUUCUGCAGAGACUCGGCCAAUAGUUACACCAACAGUUCAGCUGUCCAACCGGCCAAGACUGAUAUGAGCGAGGAUAAAGAAUCACAACCUACAACCAUAUAUGGGCAAAGGCUGCCAUUUAUAUGCAAUGGCAGAAUAGAAGUCCCGGAAAUUAAUAUGGAAACAUUAGAAUGCCAGCAGGAAAAAGAUAAGACAUCAACAACGAUUCCACCAGUGGAGACUUCAGCUCCAGCCACGACUGAUACUGACAGAGAUACCAGUACCUGUAGAAACAGUUCCUUCACAGACUCGGCCGACAGUUCAGCGCUACAACCGGAAAAGACCGAUGUGAGUGAGGAUAAAGAAGCAAAACCUACCACUACUAAACAACCUGCAGCGGAGGAAGCUGAGCAGAUGGAGCCUGAGGUUCUCCCCAAAGCAUUCAUUUCUAAUGUUUUUCCGUCAGAAAUGGAGAAGCUACACCAAGAGAAUGUUCUGCUGAGAGGAGAGGUCAAGGAAUUGCGUGAUGAAGUGAAUGUUUUGAUGAAGGUAGCCAAAGGAAGUGAUGACAAGAUCAACCACCUGCUCAUUUUGGCCUGUCUAAUAAUGUUUUUCAGUGGUUUGGUGGCAAACUGGAAGUGA
rnacentral:rRNA from 1 species